rnacentral:lncRNA from 1 species
GGUUUGGGGUUGAGGGGCUCACUGGCCAGUUUUUCCAUGUUUCUCAAAUAAAACUCUGGUGUCAUCAAGAAACAUGGUGGAGGGAGACAUGAAGACUUUAGAGACAGGAACCACUGCAGAAAGAUCAGGAGAUGGGGAGGCAGAGGAAAGAAAGGAGAGAUCUGUGGAUCCCGUGAGCACCCCAAAUUGGAACCACUCCUUACCGUGCCUCAAGGAAGCAACAGACCUCCAAACUGCAUGGUGUACCUCAAAAGAGCAAGACCCAAGCAAAAAGGUUAAAGAAGUCCACAAUUCCUCAACAAAACUUUGGGACCAGACACAUUUCGGGAUUCAGAACUUUUUGGGUUUUAAAGAUAUAAGAGUAAGUGUUCUUUAUAUUAUUACAUGGCAACUCCAAUGCAGUACUCUGUAAUAAAGCACCCUGAUAUUUCUACAGAAACAUUUAUUAAAGUUUACAUUGAAUAAGAAUGCUGCCUGAUUUCCUGACAUUAACAAUGAACACAGCCAGACUCAAGAGGAGGAAGCUACUGGGACCACGGCAGUCAAGGAAACACCAUCAACACCCAGUCUUCCUGCUGAGAGAAAAUGGUGGGU